CGCCGUUCUCAGGGCGGGGCGGAAUUCCCCACCGGCGGUAUGCGGGCACAGGCCCGCCAGCCCGCGAGCGGCUCUGCCAUCCAUCGGCAGAGUGUCAGCAGAUCUGGUGAGAGGCCAGAGCCGACGGUCAAAGUCCGGAUGAAAGAGAACGAGC
rnacentral:ncRNA from 2 species